rnacentral:rRNA from 1 species
CAGCAGCCGCGGUAACACGUAGGGUGCAAGCGUUAAUCGGAAUUACUGGGCGUAAAGCGUGCGCAGGCGGUUCGCUAAGACAGAUGUGAAAUCCCCGGGCUUAACCUGGGAACUGCAUUUGUGACUGGCGGGCUAGAGUAUGGCAGAGGGGGGUAGAAUUCCACGUGUAGCAGUGAAAUGCGUAGAGAUGUGGAGGAAUACCGAUGGCGAAGGCAGCCCCCUGGGCCAAUACUGACGCUCACGCACGAAAGCGUGGGGAGCAAACUGGAUUAGAUACCCCUGUAGUCCCUGUCUCUUAUAC